rnacentral:rRNA from 1 species
AAUCAACGCUGGCGGCGUGCCUCAGACAUGCAAGUCGAACGAUUAAAGCUCUCUUCGGAGAGUGUAUAGAGUGGCGCACGGGUGAGUAACACGUAAGUAAUCUACCCUCGAGUGGGGAAUAACAACCGGAAACGGUUGCUAAUACCGCAUAAUGCAGCGGGCACCGCAAGGUGACAGUUGUUAAAGAUUUAUCGCUUGAGGAGGAGCUUGCGGCAGGAUUAGCUAGUUGGUAGGGUAACGGCUUACCAAGGCUACGAUCUGUAACCGGUCUAAGAGGACGGUCGGUCACACUGACACUGGAUAACGGGUCAGACUCCUACGGGAGGCAGCAGUCGGGAAUUUUGGGCAAUGGGCGAAAGCCUGACCCAGCAACGCCGCGUGAAGGAUGAAGUAUUUCGGUAUGUAAACUUUGAAAGAAUAGGAAGAAUUAAUGACGGUACUAUUUAUAAGGUCCGGCUAACUACGUG